rnacentral:tRNA from 1 species
UUUAGUUAAAAAAUAACAUAAGAAUGUCAAACUUAAAUUAUUAUAUAAAUAACUAAAA